GUCUCAGACUGAGGGAAAAGCAUAAAGAAACGCUGGCUGUGGACGCACCUUGGAAGGAGGCAAAGGAGAAAAGAAAGCAAGCACCCGACACAGCCCAGCGAGGCCCCAAGGAGGCCCCACGCCCCACUGCCUGUCUGCACUCUGCUGAAACCCACAUCCACGCCCCCAGGCCAGCUGGCAUCUUCCACGCUUCCCUGCUCUCUUGGGGCCUCCUCCCUCACGCCCUCAGUGUCACCUCGCCCUUUGCCCAAGACCAACAGACACCUGCCCACACGCAUGCAGGCCCAGAGUGGCCCGACCAGGCUUCCUCGCCCCUUGUUCUGUCCAGACACAAAGCUGACAUGGGAGUCCGGUCGGCAGACUCAUCCCCACACCCUGUACAAAGCUGGACACCCGCGGAGACCUCCGGAAGCCAAGAUCUAAGCGCUUCGAUCCCACAUUCACAAGCCCCCUCAGCGGGGAUUCCCAGACGCACGCUUCUCCUGAGAGAGUCCAGCCCCUCCUGGCGGCCGUGGUCCCUGGAUGCGGGUGCUCGAGGCCUGUGUGGUCUUCUCCCUGUGGCGGUGGUGAGUGUAAUGCCUCAGAAGACUCUGCCAGGGCAUUAAACAAAGUCAUACGCGAACCCCCCGGUGCACGGCAGUGGCAGAGGAGGUGAAGCCACGGGCCUUGAUGCUGUCAAGGUCUCGGGAGCCCUCCUCGCUGCGCUGGCCCCUGCUGCAGAGCCCGUCAUCAGAAGAAAGUGAUUUUUUUCCUAUGGGUUCUGACAGUUAAGGCCCUGGUGCCUCUUGAUGGCAAUCAGAGGGACUGGAAAACUCACUCUCUGCCUCAUUCCAACACUACCUACGGGUGGGACCCUCCCUGGGCCUCCUGGCCUGCAGCCUGGGGUCUCCAAGCUGCCUCAGGGCUUUCCGUCCCAUGUUCUGCCCGAGCCCUGAGCGGCCCUGUUGACUUGGGACAUGUGCCCCUUGGCUUGGCAGGGCUGCUGCUUCUCCCUUUCCAUCUCAUUGCUUCAAGCACAGACCAUUCCACAAUCACAAUGUAUUUACUUUCCAAAGCUGUGGAUACCAAAGGAAAAACUGUGGUAGCAGAGUACGGUGUAAUUAACGUGGAAUGUACCAGGGGAACCGAGGACAUGGCAGACAGACACCGCGUUCUCAAACAACCGCUUGCUGUUGAAGAGGGUCUAUUUUCUCCUCUCCCUCUCCCUUCCCAAGAGAUUAAAAUAAUAAACUCUAAGAAAUAAAUAAACGUGCUCAGCUUCACACAUACGAGGUUGACCCUGGCGCAGGUGCGUGGACUCACGUGUGGGGUAGCAGCUGGACAGCCAUGAUCUGUGUCCAUCACCACCCAGGCAUCAUGACCACAGAGAGACAUAUUUAGCACACACAUUACAGUGCC
rnacentral:lncRNA from 1 species